CUUUAAAAUAAUAAACGCGUACACGUUCUGAAGUAUUGGCAUUGACUAGUGUUAUUUGUGUGGUUGUAGUUUUUGUAUUGGACUGUGAAGAUUAGUGAUGCUUAUCAAAAUUAUGCCAUUAGGUGGCAGUACCAACGAUGUUUCGUCCAGCAUUACUGAAGAAGAAUACCGCCAACGUGACUAACGGAGGAACAAACCUGAGACAGAAUUCAUUGAAGAAAAAGAGGAAAAUGAAGAAUCAAGUGAAGUUGAGGAGAAGAAUCAUGUGAAAACUGGCGGAAAACUUUCCCAGUGCGGACCUGACCAAGGCUGUCUCCAUGGCAACUUGCUGUUACGCUGUAUAAUCUGCGGACUGAGGCAUCUAGAGACUGAGGGAGAGGAUGGAGAUUCUGCCGCUGAUUAUAUCCUUUUUUCAAAAUAUAUUAUCUCAUUAAUAUUGUGUAAUUAUUAAUCAAGUGUUUGAUCAGUAUUUAACCUCCAAGAUUGUUGUAUGAUGUGAUGAAAUGAAGAAAGCCAUCUAUACACUAUAGAUUGAUGCAUGCAUACUCAGAAACAUAUUAUUUCUUCCUAGAAGUGUCAGGUUUUACAUGUCAUGAACGUGUGUGAGUAUUCUUUCUCCUAGGGUCACAAGGUCAGCUAAAAAGGACCAGGGGGCCUCUUCUAUGUACUACGAGGGAGACAUGCAGUAUUCUAACAUGUCCAAAUGUACAUUAGAUAUUAAGAACUCUGUUUUAUCCUGUAUUUCUAUUCUUCAAGAUUAAUGUCAGCCUGCUUUGUGUGUGUAACCAACCGUAGUGAUAAAAAGACUUGCCAGUGCUAGAGAACCUUGGAAAUAGCAGAUAAGGUUUGUGUGUGUGUGCGCCCAUAAAGUGAUGCGGCUGACAUUGCUGGAUUCCAGACCUAGGAUGAGGUGUCUUCUUCAACCGUGCUGACGCCUGCUAUAAUCACUGGAGAUAUGCUGAAGAUGUGUAUGCCCAUAUGUGAAGAUUGUCUAAGUUUAUCUAGGUUUUGGAACCAAUCAGAUUGCUGCUGACCAGCGGUUUGAUGCAACUAAAGUCUUUGUCUGGAGUAUAACUAUGACUGAUUUUGUAUUGUACGGCAGAGCAGCUUGCGGACUCCUGCGAGAGUAUUGACGCUGACUUCUGCCGAUUAAACUGCAAACUAUUUCCUUUAAGUAAAAUUAUUAUUAUUAAUUGAACUCAUCUCUGACUCCUGGUCUUCAUUACGACAACACCUGGUCCUUGGGUUUUGAACUGUUAUCCCCAACAAGACAAUCGCAACUCUCCAGGCCUACUAAUACACAAACUCUUACACAUAUACAGAUAUGCACUCACCUCCCCACCCCCAUCCCUCGCCUUCGCUGCUUCAUACCGCCAGUCUGUCAAGCGGGUCUGUGACCAGCGCUUUUUAGCUGCAGGUUAGGAUGGCUGCUGCCUGCACUGGAUUACCUCGACCCCCCCCCAAUUUCUGUCCCCAGUUGCAAAGUCGUGUGUUUAUGGUGAUUAUGUGCUUUUGUUGCUGAGGUGUUUUUUCAUGUUCCCAUACUGUACUCCAAAAGGAGCAUAGUAUGGGUGUUGGUUCUCCUCACUUUCCUAAUGUUAUGCUGUAUUUCUUCCUCAAUUCCCUGUCUUCCUGUUCUGUCUAGCCCAUUGUAUGUAUGUUCUGUAUGUAUGGACAGGUUGAUGGCUAAUUUCGCUGGUACUUGUGACUAGAGACAAUAAAGGGCUACUUUCUUACUUACUUUUAGUGACUGUGCAUUUAUUUGCAAUCAAGUCAACAAUAUCGCUG
rnacentral:lncRNA from 1 species